rnacentral:rRNA from 1 species
GUUAGGAAUAUUGGACAAUGGGCGCAAGCCUGAUCCAGCCAUGCCGCGUGAGUGAUGAAGGCCUUCGGGUUGUAAAGCUCUUUAGCCGAUGAUUAUAAUGACUGUAGUCGGAAAAUAAGCCCCGGCUAACUUCGUGCCAGCAGCCGCGGUAAUACGAAGGGGGCGAGCGUUAUUCGGAAUCACUGGGCGUAAAGCGUGCGUAGGCGGCUUUGCAAGUUGGGAGUGAAAGCCCAGGGCUCAACCCUGGAAUUGCUCUCAAAACUGCAAGGCUCGAAUUCGGGAGAGGAUAGCGGAAUUGUCAGUGUAGCAGUGAAAUGCGUAGAUAUUGACAGGAACACCAGUGGCGUAAGCGGCUAUCUGGACCGAUAUUGACGCUGAGGCACGAAAGCGUGGGUAGCAAACAGGAUUAGAAACCCUUGUAGUCC